GACAGAGGGUGCGAGCGUUGUUCGGAAUUACUGGGCGUAAAGCGCGCGUAGGUGGUUUGUUAAGUUGGAUGUGAAAUCCCCGGGCUCAACCUGGGAACUGCAUUCAAAACUGACAAGCUAGAGUAUGGUAGAGGGUGGUGGAAUUUCCUGUGUAGCGGUGAAAUGCGUAGAUAUAGGAAGGAACACCAGUGGCGAAGGCGACCACCUGGACUGAUACUGACACUGAGGUGCGAAAGCGUGGGGAGCAAACAGG
rnacentral:rRNA from 1 species